UCUUCUUUCUCUUUUGAGUACUGAUUUCCAUCUAGUCUUGAGUGCAAAGUCCCCGGAUCCAGUCCGAACCCAGCCCAGACGGUGGAUCAGCACCUAGAGACGACCUCUACAGCCCUGAAUGUCAGCGGAGUCCACAUCAACUAGAUGAGCCCCAGAGACGGAUCCACAUUAAAGACCACAUCACCUAGACGGCUGUCGGCACAAGACCACGGGAGCUUUGGCCAGAGGAGAACUGGCCCCCCGACUGAGCCUGGUUUCUCCCAAGGUUUUUUUUUCUCCAUUUGUCACCAAUGGAGUUUUGGUUUCUUGCCGCUGUCGCCUCUGGCUUGCUUAGUUGGGGACACUUUCUCUUAACACAAUAUUGCAUUUUAUUUUAUUGUUUUUGAUUAACUACCUUUACCUAUAAUGUGAGUGUUUAAUGUUGCCUUUGGCAUUGUUGAUGUACUGUUUCCUAUUUAAUACUGUACAGCCGCCUUGUCACAAUUCUGUAUUGUUAAAGGCGGUAUAUAAAUAAAGGUGACUUGACUUGACUUGACAAAGUUUAGCUCCAGCCCCAAUCAUGUACAGCUGAUCAAGGUCUUCAGGAUUACCACAGACUUCCAAGCAGGCGUGUGGACGGGUUGGAGCUGAACUCUGUCAGAUGUUAGUCCUUCAAGACACCACUGCUGUAAUUGAGUCAGCUAAACAAAGAGCCACCAGGUCGCUGCAUCUUUUGUAAUAUGAUGGAACAAAAAGUAGGUUGGCCACAGCGUCUGAAAUGGAAACAUCUAUUAAAAUGCCUCUGCAGUAUAAGACACUUGGGAUGGUGGAAGGAGCAGAAGAACAGCGAUCAGGCAGAGAUCUACUGUUGCCCCUUAGGGAAUUGAUUUAUAAUCUACUUAACAUUCUGAUUUAGUAAUAAUUGAUCAUUGCUCUGUCCUAUAGAAUUAUUUAAUACAUUCCACUGUUCAAUAGUUUGGGGUCAGUAUUUUAUUAUGUUUUUUUUUAAAUCUAAGAAAUACAAUUUUACAUUUGAAAUGUUUAAGAAAUUAUUUUUAUUCAGCAAGGAUGCGUUAAAUUGAUAACUUUUACAUUGUUGCACAAAAAUCCUAUUUCAAAUAAAUGCUGCUCUUUUAAAAGCAUUAUUUAAAGGAUCCUGAAAAGAUAUAUCAUGGUUUCCUCAAAAAUAUAAAGCAGCACAACAGUUUUCAUGACUGCUGAUGAUAAGAAAUGUAGUUUUG